UCGAACGGCAGCGCGGGAGCAAUCCUGGCGGCGAGUAGCGAACGGGUGAGUAAUACAUCGGAACGUGCCCAAUCGUGGGGGAUAACGCAGCGAAAGCUGUGCUAAUACCGCAUACGAUCUACGGAUGAAAGCAGGGGAUCGCAAGACCUUGCGCGAAUGGAGCGGCCGAUGGCAGAUUAGGUAGUUGGUGAGGUAAAGGCUCACCAAGCCUUCGAUCUGUAGCUGGUCUGAGAGGACGACCAGCCACACUGGGACUGAGACACGGCCCAGACUCCUACGGGAGGCAGCAGUGGGGAAUUUUGGACAAUGGGCGAAAGCCUGAUCCAGCCAUGCCGCGUGCAGGAUGAAGGCCUUCGGGUUGUAAACUGCUUUUGUACGGAACGAAACGGCCUUUUCUAAUAAAGAGGGCUAAUGACGGUACCGUAAGAAUAAGCACCGGCUAACUACGUGCCAGCAGCCGCGGUAAUACGUAGGGUGCAAGCGUUAAUCGGAAUUACUGGGCGUAAAGCGUGCGCAGGCGGUUAUGUAAGACAGUUGUGAAAUCCCCGGGCUCAACCUGGGAACUGCAUCUGUGACUGCAUAGCUAGAGUACGGUAGAGGGGGAUGGAAUUCCGCGUGUAGCAGUGAAAUGCGUAGAUAUGCGGAAGAACACCGAUGGCGAAGGCAAUCCCCUGGACCUGUACUGACGCUCAUGCACGAAAGCGUG
rnacentral:rRNA from 1 species